AAACGUACCAGUGGCCGCACACGUCCCAGUCGCCGCACACGACUUUAAUGUUUUCAAUUUAUUAAGCAUUUCGUGAAGAAUAUUGCAAAUCUAAAAAUUGUGUAGGGAUCUACAAUACGUUAUUGUAAUAACAAACAAAUUUGAAGUAUGAUUCUGCACGGAUUACCAUUUAUUUUAAAUUGUUUAUUCGGUCUCGCACGUCACGGCUGUUCGGAUACUGGUACAACCCUGCGAGUUCGCUAGUCCCAGUAACCGCACAUCGCGUAGCACGCUGUUUCUCGAUCGAUGCAAAGUUGUUACUACGGAAUUAAUUCUGGUGUUUCGAUUAAAAGAAAACAAAAUAUCGUGUGGAAAACCGAUUGAUAAGUAAGUACUCAUUGUUGAUAAUAUAUCUGCAAUAAAUCUAAUGUGCAUGCUGAAUCUGUGCAACCAGUAUCAGAAAAAUUGUUUGCUGUUUACAUGGAGAGGUUAUGUUACGGCUGAAUAUAUUUUGGUUUAAGGCUGCGGUCCACUUGACGCCACAAAUGCUUUGAAGCGUUUUUCUUCUCCUUCUUUCUUCAUUGAAGGAGGAAUGCUUCGAAGCAUUUGUAGCAUCAAGUGGACCGCAGCCUAAAUAUCGUAUUGUGCGGACACUGGGUGGGACAUACCGAGUAAAGGCUGUGCGGACACUGAAACUAGAAACCCUAAGCUUCAAGAUGGUUCAAGUCAUUUGUACCAAGCAUGCGUCUAAAUGGGCUAAAUUUGUAUCACAAUCUGAAUUGUGGCUUAAGUGUGCGACCACUGGUACAUUUACCUUACGUGAAU